GAUGAACGCUGGCGGCGUGCCUAAUACAUGCAAGUCGAGCGAACGGACGAGAAGCUUGCUUCUCUGAUGUUAGCGGCGGACGUGUGAGUAACACGUGGAUAACCUACCUAUAAGACUGGGAUAAUUUCGGGAAACCGGAGCUAAUACCAGAUAAUAUUUUGAACCGCAGGGUUCAAAAGUGAAAGACGGUCUUGCUGUCACUUAUAGAGGGAUCUGCGCUGCAUUAGCUGGUUGCGAAGGUAACGGCUUAUCAAGGCAAGGAUGCAUAGCCGACCUGAGAGGGUGAUCGCCCACCCUGGAGCUGGGCCACGCACCAGACGCCUGCGGGAGGCAGCAGUAGGGUAUCUGACGCAAUGGGCGAGAACAUGGCGGAGCGACGCCGAGUGAGUGAUGAAAAUCUUCGGAUCGUAAAACUCUGUUACUAGUGAAAAACAUAUGUGUACGUAGCUGUGCACAGCUUGACGGUACCUAAUCAGAAAGCCACGGCUAACUACGUG
rnacentral:rRNA from 1 species